rnacentral:rRNA from 1 species
UACGUAGGGGGCUAGCGUUGUUCGGAUUCACUGGGCGUAAAGCGCACGUAGGCGGUUUCUUAAGUCAGGGGUGAAAUCCCGAGGCUCAACCUCGGAACUGCCUUUGAUACUGGGGAUCUCGAGUUCGGGAGAGGUGAGUGGAAUUGCGAGUGUAGAGGUGAAAUUCGUAGAUAUUCGCAAGAACACCAGUGGCGAAGGCGGCUCACUGGCCCGAUACUGACGCUGAGGUGCGAAAGCGUGGGGAGCAAACAGG